AGGACGAACGCUGGCGGCGUGCUUAACACAUGCAAGUCGAGCGAUGAAGCUCCUUCGGGAGUGGAUUAGCGGCGGACGGGUGAGUAACACGUGGGUAACCUGCCUCAUAGAGGGGAAUAGCCUUUCGAAAGGAAGAUUAAUACCGCAUAAGAUUGUAGUACCGCAUGGUACAGCAAUUAAAGGAGUAAUCCGCUAUGAGAUGGACCCGCGUCGCAUUAGCUAGUUGGUGAGGUAACGGCUCACCAAGGCGACGAUGCGUAGCCGACCUGAGAGGGUGAUCGGCCACAUUGGGACUGAGACACGGCCCAGACUCCUACGGGAGGCAGCAGUGGGGAAUAUUGCACAAUGGGGGAAACCCUGAUGCAGCAACGCCGCGUGAGUGAUGACGGCCUUCGGGUUGUAAAACUCUGUCUUUGGGGACGAUAAUGACGGUACCCAAGGAGGAAGCCACGGCUAACUACGUGCCAGCCGCAGC
rnacentral:rRNA from 1 species